GACGAACGCUGGCGGCGUGCUUAACACAUGCAAGUCGAACGGAAAGGCCCUGCUUUUGUGGGGUGCUCGAGUGGCGAACGGGUGAGUAACACGUGAGUAACCUGCCCUUGACUUUGGGAUAACUUCAGGAAACUGGGGCUAAUACCGGAUAGGGGCUCCUGCUGCAUAGUGGGGGUUGGAAAGUUUCGGCGGUUGGGGAUGGACUCGCGGCUUAUCAGCUUGUUGGUGGGGUAGUGGCUUACCAAGGCUUUGACGGGUAGCCGGCCUGAGAGGGUGACCGGCCACAUUGGGACUGAGAUACGGCCCAGACUCCUACGGGAGGCAGCAGUGGGGAAUAUUGCACAAUGGGCGGAAGCCUGAUGCAGCAACGCCGCGUGCGGGAUGACGGCCUUCGGGUUGUAAACCGCUUUCGCCUGUGACGAAGCGUGAGUGACGGUAAUGGGUAAAGAAGCACCGGCUAACUACGUG
rnacentral:rRNA from 1 species